rnacentral:pre_miRNA from 1 species
GAUUUCAACUGAAAAAGUCAUCAACAACAAAGUUAUAUAAUUCAUCAAGAUCUAUAACUUUUAUUUUGGUCAUUUUUUCAUCCGACAAAGUGAUAGUAACAUUGUUCACAAAAUUUGCAUCUAUCUCAUUUGGUUCUAUAAACUAUAAGAGAGAUAUGUAAACUUUGUGAACAAUAUUAUUAUCAAUUUAUCGGAUGAAGAAAUGACCAAAAUAAAAGUUGUAUGUCUUGAUGAGCUCUACAACUUUCAUGUUCAUGACUUUUUCAGCUGAAAUU